GACGAACGCUGGCGGCGUGCUUAACACAUGCAAGUCGAACGGAAAGGCCCCGCUUUUGUGGGGUGCUCGAGUGGCGAACGGGUGAGUAACACGUGAGUAACCUGCCCUUGACUUUGGGAUAACUUCAGGAAACUGGGGCUAAUACCGGAUAGGAGCUCCUGCUGCACGGUGGGGGUUGGAAAGUUUCGGCGGUCGGGGAUGGACUCGCGGCUUAUCAGCUUGUUGGUGGGGUAGUGGCUUACCAAGGCUUUGACGGGUAGCCGGCCUGAGAGGGUGACCGGCCACAUUGGGACUGAGAUGCGGCCCAGACUCCUACGGGAGGCAGCAGUGGGGAAUAUUGCACAAUGGGCGGAAGCCUGAUGCAGCAACGCCGCGUGCGGGAUGACGGCCUUCGGGUUGUAAACCGCUUUCGCCUGUGACGAAGCGUGAGUGACGGUAAUGGGUAAAGAAGCACCGGCUAACUACGUG
rnacentral:rRNA from 1 species